AAUAGACAACAAAUGAUGAACUUGUGCUCAUGAUACUUUUACUGAGAGAUCAUGGAAAUGAAAGGCCGAUAACGUAAGUUUCGUUACAGAAAUUUACAAGAGACAAAAGGCGAGUAAUGAUCAUUCAUCCUGUAGGUCGGAGACAUACAUUAAAGCGAGCGUUGCAAAGUAUAUACCUAAACUUUAUUACACCAACAUAUGAAAAAACGUAAUAAAUAUUAUAAAUAUAGAGUAGUAUCAAGUAAAAUCGAAUACAACUUGCAGUUCGUCUUUACAUUGUUGCACGCUGGCGCAAUGUAAUAUCGACGUUUAAAACCCCGUUUCUUUAAUUAAACAAUCGUCGAAGACAUUUUUUAACAGAGUAACAUCUUUAUCUUUAUGUACAAAAUAUGAUGUGCUCGCAUCGGAGAAUGGAAACCAAGUUACACGCGUGCCAGUAACCAGUCGUUUUCUUUUACAGAAAGAAUACGAUUACUCGGUAAUUGAACAGGCAUAAAGAAAGAAACACGACGCUAAUCAUUGAAAAAGCUAUAUGUGUAUAUAGUAUAUAACCAUUGGAGUCGAAUGUUUCAUUGAAACGGUAACAAAAUUUCGUUUAUGUUCGUUCGUUCGUUCCCGACGAGAAAACUCCGGCGAUUAUGAGAAGCUUUUUCUUCGGCUAUUAUUGUAUUUGUAUUUACAUAUAUAUGUUAUAUGUAUACGCUUAACCUGAUCUAAUAGGAUUAUUGUAACAAUUUACCAAAAAAUAUCUACACAGUAAAAAUAUAUAUACAUAUAUAUAUAUAUAUACAAUAUAUAUAUAUAUGUUAUGUAUAUACAUAUAAAUACACAUACACAGUAUGUUAUUUACGGGCGCGUGUUCAUAAUGUACUUCGGCUUUUUCUUUUAUUUUUCUUUCUUUCUAGUUGUUCCGAAUCGAUAUAACGCGACGAAUAUUUUCUGCGCUCUGCUUUUCUUUUUCCUCGUUUUAUAUCCAUCUACUCGAUAUAUCUUCUUGUAUGAAGUGACGAGGCCCUUUGAGUCAUAAAAAAGCACAUAUUCUCCGUUCAUCGUGUGCGUAGAGAACAGUGAUGAGCAACUACAAAAUUUUCAAAUUUACACAUUUCUAAACGGUCAAUUCCUCAGCCCAUUCGAAUUUUUCGAAUUCUCAUAUUUCCAACUUUCCAAGUUUAUAAAUUCCAAAACUCUUAAAUUUUCAAAUUUCUAAACCUUCAAAUCCUUGAAUUUCUAAAUUUAUGAACUAUCUUAUACGCGAUCGCUACAUGCCACUCGCACAUUACUACCCUUCAGUGGGCAAAUGAUUUGCCCAUCACUGCUGUAACAUUUAUUUCUCCUGGCAUGAAUCCAUACGUACAAAUGCAUAGGUCGAUGUGCACGUCGUGUUAACGCACAUAACAUGAAUAAUGCACGAUUUGCACGUUCGUAUUUUGGCUGCGAUUUGACGCGGUUAUUAAUAUCUCUAUUUCGACAGCGUGUCAGAAAUUAUUUCGUGGCGCUCGUUCGUAGCGUACCCGCUCAGGGAAAGGAUCAACGCUAACACUAUGUAUACAUAUUUUCAAAACGCUUUUGUUUUCGGAUGCUCUCCCGCAGCUUUUCUCAACAACUAUAAUAAUCGCACGCACUGCAUCAUCCUCCCUAUGAUUACGCGGUGUGCAAUACUCAUUGCACACAUUCCAAAAUAAUGUUUGAACGAUCCAUUUGGAUAAUACAUCGAACGCUGCGUCGUUACUUAAGAAAUAUAUCGCUACGAACCACAUUUAAUCUUAUUAAAAUAUAUGUUGUAUACAUAUCUAUGUAUAUAUAUUCGAUACACGCAUCUAUGAACAUUUAACCCUCUAUAGCCCAACAGGUGUCAUUGCACUAUGCACGUUAUCAUGUUAUUUAAUCGUUACCUUAAUCCUCGACUGACAGUGACCGCGUCAAUUGUUUGACUCGAAUCCACGAAACAUUAUACAACGGUACGUUCAUUAAAAUUAGAUAUUUCAUGUAUUGGGAAAAUAAUAUCUAAAAAAAAUAGUAUGAAAUUUAGCAGAUGAGGGCAAAGACGAAUUCAAAAUUUGAUUCUGUCAUUCAAGGAUUAUUAGUUGUUCGAAGAACUAAUUGUUUAUAAUCGCAUCGAUGUGAGGCUGGUUCAAAACAUCCACCCAAUUCAUACUUCAACACGUUUAGAUCCCAAUGAGUAAUAAUUACACAACCUAGAUAGGCAGUGAACUGCGCAUUUGUUACUUUCGGAUCAAACGUGUUAACGAGCCUCACAAUCUAUGAAAAAUCUAUUAUACUGUUUGCGAAGCUCUAUGCAUAAUAUCAUAUUAAUACAAAUAUUAAUAAAAUUUAUGUGCGUUUCAAGCUUGAAGCAUUUCAAACUUGCAGCGCUCCGAUUUCGCGUCAGUUCUGUUUAUAGCACCAUCGCAAAAUAGAAAACAAAUUUAAUCUUUAAUUACGUUCAGAAAUAAUUCGCGACAGAAAGCAGAAAUGGUCCAUAGAGGGUUAACAGGAAAUAUCGGUAACUUUGAUCGGCAUAACAUCAAUUUGAAUCGUUUCGCAGUCGUGUUUCGUUUUAGUAUCACGAACGCAAACUGUCGUAACGAUGAUUCUUCGUUUCUUCGUUAAUCAUCACAGACGGAAAAAGACUUAAUUACCAUGUAAUAAGGGCCAACAGAUUCAUAUCUUUAUUCGCCUGGUUUCCUCGACACAGUUUUCGUUCGAUUUCGCUCGAUCUCCUCUUACUUGCUCGUUGUUCGGCCGUCGAAUUCAUAAAAGAAAAAUAAAAGCGGAAAACUGGACACUGCCGUGACUGAUUUCUACAUUUCCAUUGUUUUAUUUCGCUGAUUUACAAGUUUAAUCGAUCCCAGGAAACGCACGUUUGUGCGUCAACUAGAUACGACGAAUAACGAGAGCUUUCUGCACCCAAUUAUAAACAAUAAAUCGUGCGUGCAGAAGAAUACAACAAAUCGCUGUAGUUAACGUUGCUUAAACUAUGCACAAAUUUCACAAACAUCGCUCAACGGUUUCACAGGAUACACGAAUCAUUCGCAUUCUAUUUGUUCAUCAUCCAUCCUCCUUCCCUUCGAAAGAAACUGAGAUUCAUUGAAACGUUCUUUUCACGAUAAAAAAGCGUUUUGUGCUAAUGUAGCUCGAAUGAAGAUGAAACUGAAAAGCGCUCGCUCGCGAGACAAGAAUAGAAUUGUUACGAAUUUUAUAGUGUUAGAUGAUAGAAGGGGAAGAGGAAAUCGUACGAAGAAUUGACAAUUUGAAAAUGCAUUUUCUUUUUUCCUUCGUUCUCUCCUUUUUUCCUCUUUUUUUUCAUCACGUGUAACGCGAUAGUUUUUCUUCGCACGAUUCACAUCUCCAUUUUCGCAUCUAUGCGUGACAACAUCUGGUGUGUGUGUGUACGUGUUACGUGUAUGCGCGUGUCUCUCUGUGUAUGUAUGUACGUAUGUACGUGUAUGUAUGUACGUGUGUGUGUGUAAUUAAAAGACGACCUUAUUCCGAGGAAUCACACGAAUUUCAUUGGUAUACUGCAUACAUUGGUGUUACUAGGAAAAGCCGAGGGUGGGUUUAGCCCUUCUUAAACGACAAAUUAGAAAUGUUUAAUUUUCUCUAAAAAUUCAAACUCGUAAAUUUCUAAAUCCUCGAGUCCCUAAAUUUCCAAAUUACCAAUUUUCCAAAGCGACUUUAUUACGCCUUAGCCCACCCCAGACAAAAGACCUAGUUACACCGACGACAGCAUCUUGUGCUUAGCAUAACGUAUGCCUAGCAUAUCGCGCGUAUUAGUUAAAAAUCGAACACGCGGCACCACCUUCAAUAAGAAAAGUCUAUCGAAGAGAAGAACACAUCACGAUGUAAUAUACGUCAGCGUGUAACAACAGCCAUAGUCUACGAAUUAGAGCAAGAACAUCGGCAUUUGUGACUAAUUCUGUGUUCGUCUUAAAUAUGCGUAUCUAUUGUCGCUGCUAUUAAUCUUGUUCGUUAAAAAACAAUCACUCUCUCGAUCGCUAUAUUACAUUUCCAAUUGUUCUGUGUUUGGUCCCACGAAAUUGCACGAUUAAAUGUUUUAUUUCUAACUAUGGGCCAAUUCUCUUUUCUAAACGUUUCUCCGCAAUAAAAUAAUUAGCGUAGUAUCAAUUUCGAGGGAAUGCUAUGAAACGAAGCUAGAGAAACGAACGACGAUAAUUGACCAAUUGAAGCGGUUAAAAAAUUGCAUUGCAUUCGAUUGACUUUCGUCGGAAUAAGGCAUGCCGCAGUGUAACAAA
rnacentral:lncRNA from 1 species